rnacentral:rRNA from 1 species
UACGAGGGGGCAAAUGUUGUUCGGAAUCACUGGGCGUAAGGGGAGCGUAGGCGGGUUUCUAAGUCAGGUGUUUAAUCCCGGGGCCCAACCCCGGACAGGCACUUGAAACUGGGAAUCUUGAAUAGUGGAGAGGUCAGUGGAAUUGGAGGUGUAGCGGUGGAAUGCGUAGAGAUCUCCAAGACACCAGUUGCGAAGGCGGCUGACUGGACACAUAUUGACGCUGAGGAGCGAAAGCCAGGGAGCAAACGGGAU